rnacentral:lncRNA from 1 species
AUUUAAAUUCCUGCGAUACAAAUAAAUUUCAGUUCUUUUUAUAACAGCUAUACCUUUGAUUAAUCUUCAAUAAAAAUGGUUUUCAAUAAAAUUUCUCAAAACUAAAGGUACUCUCACUUCUUUAUUAGUCUUGAACAUUGACACUAAAAUUAUAAUUCUCAAGUCUAUAUUAAAACCGAAGCAAUUCGUGAUUUUCUUAUUACAUGCAGAAAAUUAGUUACACGGAGGAAAAUUGGCAGAACAUUUUCCAGGUAACUGGAGAGCGAGAGUGUGGUCAACGCCAGGAAUAGAUGGUCCAUUGGCAAUAACGCAUAGACAAGGCUGACCAAGCGUUUUGAUGGCAGUGCAACAUGGCUCGUUCGGAGACAAUGUGCUAAACGGCACCACUGAUAGUGUACAAGGCACGAGUUCAAUCAAAGCGGACAAAAAUGUUCGACCACAUGGGUGUGCUGUAGCCUUUUUGACCAGGCCUGACUCGACCAAAACCAUAAGAAUCAUCACUGUAAGAACCUCUGUUUUUCUCAUUUUAAUAAUUUAUUUGUAGUUUUGAAAAAUGUUUGAAAAGGUGAGGCUCAUUAUAUAACUUCUAAGGAGAGUGUUUGCAUGAGUAACCUAAUGGAGUUGAAAGUAGAUGGAUCAUGAAACUUGGGGUUUAUUGUUUGUAGGUUCAAAUUUUCAAUGCAACUAAAAAGAUGUUAAACCUGCAUAUUCAUAUCAAAAAAUUAUCUAAUUUUUUUAGUCAAUUUUUUUUUUUUAUCUAACUAUCAGUGUAACGCACAACCAGUUUAUUUACAUGCAUAAAGAAUGGGUUGUCAAAUUGCAUGCUCUUGAUCACCAUCUUAAACUAAUGAUCUCUCUUAAUGAAACUUGAAUCGUUUCUAAGGUUUGAGACUAAAAUAGUAAAAAUAUUCAAGCACUUGUCAGUGUUUAAAAAAGAAAAAUCAAGUACUUGUCUAUCUUUCUUGUACAGUAUAACAACAUUCUUUUUGGAGCAUCUCCAACCCUACUCCAAAACCCACUCCAAAUUCUAUUUUGCAGUAAAUUUAUCUUCAAUCUCAUUCCAAAAUCCACUCCAAAAUGGAAUAAUAGAUAUGAUUACUCCAAAUAUGAAGUAAACCAACUCAUUAUUCUAAAAUGGAGUUGAACUUUUUUAUUUAUAAAAUGGUCCUCCAUAUUUAAAUAUUUCCGUUUUUAAUAAAAUAUUAUUAUAAAUAAAUAUAUAAAUAUUAUUUCACUUUAUAUAUUAUAAAAAUUACUAAUAAUAUUUCUUAAUUAUAUAAAUAUCCAUCAAGUGAACUAUUUUAUACAACAAAAUAUAUAUAAUAUAAAACAUAAAAGACCAUACAUAUAAAAAAUAAAAGAUAAGCACCAUAUAAAAGAUAUAUAAUAUAAAACAUAAAAGAUCAUACAUACGAAAAUAGACUAUUUUACAAAUAGUAUAAAUAAAAGAUGAUAUUACUAAUUUUUUAAUAACAUAAAACAUAAUAUAUUAAAAAUAUUCUAUUUUGGAGUAGGAAAUAGAGUAAUACAUUGAAAUAAAACUCAACUUCAUUUUGGAGUCACUCUAUUUUGGAGUAGAAAAUGGAGUAAUACAUUGGAAAUGCUCUGAGCAGCAUCUUAGCCGAGAGUUUGAUCUAUACAAUGGCACACAUAGAAGACUGAUACGCGUUAGUUCAUUUUCCAUUAUAUUAGAGAAUCUGAUCGAUUCAAAACCAUUUUUCCUAGAUCCAUUGUUCUGAUGUGAUGUUUCUAAACGUUCCUCCGCUGAUAAAAUUCAAACGUAUAUAAGAAUUUGAGUAUGAGAAAUUCUAGUAUGAGUCUCACAAAUUUUUGAGCGACUUUCAUAUUAAUUUUUUUUUUGUGAGAGUCAUGGUGAGAGAUUCUUGAUGCGGAUGAUGGCCUAAGAUAAGCAGCCUACACAGUACAAGUUGCUUAAAACCGUCAAAAUUGUUCGACCACAUGGGUGUCCCACAUUGACCAAACUUGACUCGACCAAAGCUGUUUUAAGUAAUAGUAUAUUUGUAAGAACCUGAUAUUCAGUCAUCUCACGGAUAUAUAGUUUUGAAUCUGUCUUAAAGACAAGGCUCAUAAGUCAUAACUUGCGCAUAAAAUAUUAGGAGAGCAACGAAAAUGAUUGCAUAAGUUUGGUUAAGAUAGAUCGUUAAACUUUGGCUUGUUGUUUUUAGGGUCACUUAUUCUAUUCCAUAAGUUUGACGUUUAGAGUUCAGAUAUCUGGAUCCUAAUCUAAUACAUAUCACAUUUAUAUUCUCUAUCUUCCAUGAAAUAGACUAUAUACUCUAUUAUCGUCCAUUUUUAAUAUAUGUUCAUCCACGUCAUGGGGCUUAAUCACCAUUUUAAACUAAUAUAUCUCACCAUCUAGUAGUUGAUGGAUGGCCUGGUGGCAUUAUCAUCUGCGUGACUGUGUUCUAAACCCUGUGAUCAAUGAGUGUUUUAAAGUGGUCUUGUUACCACGUUGACUAGAAGACAAACAUAAAAAGCUGAAUAUAUCGGUGUCUCACUAGCUUAAACUCACUAUCCCCCUUUUUAACCACCACAUUAAACUAAUAAUCCCUCUUUGAUCACUUACGUCCUCAGCACGAUAGCUAAGAAGGAGCUUGAGAGAGUGAGUAUUAUAAAACCUCUCUUGAUUGGAAUAAUUUUGUGUUACUGUUUCAUUGAUACGUCUAAUAAAUUUAGACAAUGACUUCCGAAGACAAGCUGGAGACAGAUUCUACUUAAGGGUCAGAGUCCUAUUAUGUCACACUUGAUUGGACUGUAACCGCUGCACUAUUUGCACAGUAAAUUUUCUUCUAUAUAUACGAACGUUUGCGUUCGUUUAUAAAGCACACCUAAAAACACUUCUCUUCUAUUCUCUCUCUGUAUCAGUGUUAUUUCUUUCUACGGGUAUAAAAUUUUGCCCUUAUUUAAAUUCCUGCGAUACAAAUAAAUUUCAGUUCUUUUUAUAACAGCUAUACCUUUGAUUAAUCUUCAAUAAAAAUGGUUUUCAAUAAAAUUUCUCAAAACUAAAGGUACUCUCACUUCUUUAUUAGUCUUGAACAUUGACACUAAAAUUAUAAUUCUCAAGUCUAUAUUAAAACCGAAGCAAUUCGUGAUUUUCUUAUUACAUGCAGAAAAUUAGUUACACGGAGGAAAAUUGGCAGAACAUUUUCCAGGUAACUGGAGAGCGAGAGUGUGGUCAACGCCAGGAAUAGAUGGUCCAUUGGCAAUAACGCAUAGACAAGGCUGACCAAGCGUUUUGAUGGCAGUGCAACAUGGCUCGUUCGGAGACAAUGUGCUA